UACGUAGGGACCGAGCGUUGUCCGGAAUCAUUGGGCGUAAAGAGCGUGUAGGCGGCCAACUAAGUCCUGCGUGAAAUCUCGGGGCUCAACCCCGAGCGGUCGUGGGAAACUGGUCGGCUAGAGUGCGGGAGAGGAGAGUGGAAUUCCUGGUGUAGAGGUGAAAUUCGUAGAUAUUGGGAAGAACACCGGUGGCGAAGGCGGCUCUCUGGACCGAUACUGACGCUGAGGCGCGAAAGCGUGGGGAGCAAACAGG
rnacentral:rRNA from 1 species